rnacentral:lncRNA from 1 species
CCCAGCGGAAAAAUGGCCAAAAAACGGGUGGGCUAUAGCCUUGGUGGGGGGCGCGGGCGAAGUUCGUCCGCCGGACUCGGAAUGGGGCGAGACUUUGCGGGGGGCCUCGGGGUGCCAAAAAUAAGCCGCGGGCAAAGCCGCGCCCAAAAAUAAGCUCCCGAAGGUCGUGGUGCCAAAACCCCCCAGCGGAAAAAUGGCCAAAAAAAAGGGUGGGCUAUAGCCUUGGUGGGGGGCGCGGGCGAAGUUCGUCCGCCGGACUCGGAAUGGGGCGAGACUUUGCGAGGGGCCUCGGGGUGCCAAAAAUAAGCCGCGGGCAAAGCCGCGCCCAAAAAUAAGCGCCCGAAGGUCGUGGUGCCAAAACCCCCCAGCGGAAAAAUGGCCAAAAAACGGGUGGGCUAUAGCCUUGGUGGGGGGCGCGGGCGAAGUUCGUCCGCCGGACUCGGAAUGGGGCGAGACUUUGCGAGGGGCCUCGGGGUGCCAAAAAUAAGCCGCGCCCAAAAAUAAGCGCCCGAAGGUCGUGGUGCCAAAACCCCCCAGCGGAAAAAUGGCCAAAAAACGGGUGGGCUAUAGCCUUGGUGGGGGGCGCGGGCGAAGUUCGUCCGCCGGACUCGGAAUGGGGCGAGACUUUGCGAGGGGCCUCGGGGUGCCAAAAAUAAGCCGCGGGCAAAGCCGCGCCCAAAAAUAAGCGCCCGAAGGUCGUGGUGCCAAAACCCCCCAGCGGAAAAAUGGCCAAAAAACGGGUGGGCUAUAGCCUUGGUGGGGGGCGCGGGCGAAGUUCGUCCGCCGGACUCGGAAUGUGGCGAGACUUUGCGAGGGGCCUCGGGGUGCCAAAAAUAAGCCGCGGGCAAAGCCGAGCCCAAAAAUAAGCGCCCGAAGGUCGUGGUGCCAAAACCCCCCAGCGGAAAAAUGGCCAAAAAACAGGUGGGCUAUAGCCUUGGUGGGGGGCGCGGGCGAAGUUCGUCCGCCGGACUCGGAAUGGGGCGAGACUUUGCGAGGGGCCUCGGGGUGCCCAAAAUAAGCCGCGGGCAAAGCCGCGCCCAAAAAUAAGCGCCCAAAGGUCGUGGUGCCAAAACCCCCCAGCGGAAAAAUGGCCAAAAAACGGGUGGGCUAUAGCCUUGGUGGGGGGCGCGGGCGAAGUUCGUCCGCCGGACUCGGAAUCGGGCGAGACUUUGUGAGGAGCCUCGGGGUGCCCGCGGGAAGUCGCGGGCACAGCCGCGUCCAGAAAUAAGCGCCCGAAGGUCGUGGUGCCAAAACCCCCAGCGGAAAAAUGGCCAAAAAACGGGUGGGCUACAGCCUUGGUGGGGGGCGCGGGCGAACUUCGUCCGCCGGACUCGGAAUGGGGCGAGACUUUGCGAGGGGCCUCGGGGUGGCAAAAAUAAGCCGCGGGCAAAGCCGCGCCCAAAAAUAAGCGCCCAAAGGUCGUGGUGCCAAAACCCCCCAGCGGAAAAAUGGCCAAAAAACGGGUGGGCUAUAGCCUUGGUGGGGGGCGCGGGCGAAGUUCGUCCACCGGACUCGGAAUGGGGCGAGACUUUUCGAGGGGCCUGGGAGCAUCAAAAAUAAGCCGCGGGCAAAGCCGCACCCAAAAAUAAGCGCCCGAAGGUCGUGGUGCCAAAACUCCCAGCGGAAAAAUGGGCCAAAAACGGGUGUGGCUAUGGCCUUGGUGGGGGGCGCGGGCGAAGUUUGUCCGCCGGACUUGGAAUGGGGCGAGACUUUGCGAGGGGCCUCGGGGUGCCAAAAAUAAGCCGCGGGCAAAGCCGCGCCCAAAAAUAAGCGCCCAAAGGUCGUGGUGCCAAAACCCCCCAGCGGAAAAAUGGCCAAAACACGGGUGGGCUAUAGCCUUGGUGGGGGGCGCGGGCGAAGUUCGUCCGCCGGACUCGGAAUGGGGCGAGACUUUGCGAGGGGCCUUGGGGUGCCCGCGGGAAGUCGCGGGCACAGCCGCGUCCAAAAAGAAGCGCCCGAAGGUCGUGGUGCCAAAACCCCCCAGCGGAAAAAUGGCCAAAAAACGGGCGGGCUAUAGCCUUGGUGGGGGGCGCGGGCGAAGUUCGUCCGCCGGACUCGGAAUGGGGCGAGACUUUGCGAGGGGCCUCGGGGUACCAAAAAUAAGCCGCGGGCAAAGCCGCGCCCAAAAAUAAGCGCCCGAAGGUCGUGGUGCCAAAACCCCCCAGCGGAAAAAUGGCCAAAAAACGGGUGGGCUAUAGCCUUGGUGGGGGCCGCGGGCGAAGUUCGUCCGCCGGACUCGGAAUGGGGCGAGACUUUUCGAGGGGCCUCGGGGUACCAAAAAUAAGCCGCGGGCAAAGCCGCGCCCAAAAAUAAGCGCCCGAAGGUCAUGGUGCCAAAACCCCCCAGCGGAAAAAUGGCCAAAAAACGGGUGGGCUAUAGCCUUGGUGGGGGGCGCGGGCGAAGUUCGUCCGCCGGACUCAGAAUGGGGCGAGACUUUGCGAGGGGCCUCGGGGUANNNNNNNNNNNNNNNNNNNNNNNNNNNNNNNNNNNNNNNNNNNNNNNNNNNNNNNNNNNNNNNNNNNNNNNNNNNNNNNNNNNNNNNNNNNNNNNNNNNNNNNNNNNNNNNNNNNNNNNNNNNNNNNNNNNNNNNNNNNNNNNNNNNNNNNNNNNNNNNNNNNNNNNNNNNNNNNNNNNNNNNNNNNNNNNNNNNNNNNNNNNNNNNNNNNNNNNNNNNNNNNNNNNNNNNNNNNNNNNNNNNNNNNNNNCAGCGGAAAAAUGGCCAAAAAACGGGUGGGCUAUAGCCUUGGUGGGGGGCGCGGGCGAAGUUCGUCCGCUGGACUCGGAAUGGGGCGAGACUUUGCGAGGGGCCUAGGGGUGCCAGAAAUAAUCCGCGGGCAAAGCCGCGCCCAAAAAUAAGCGCCCGAAGGUCGUGGUGCCAAAACCCCCCAGCGGAAAAAUGGCCAAAAAACGGGUGGGCUAUAGCCUUGGUGGGGGGCGUGGGCGAAGUUCGUCCGCCGGACUCGGAAUGGGGCGAGACUUUGCGAGGGGCGUCGGGGUGCCCCCAGGAAGUCGCGGGCACAGCCGCGUCCAAAAAUAAGCGCCCGAAGGUCGUGGUGCCAAAACCCCCCAGCGGAAAAAUGGCCAAAAAACGGGUGGGCUAUAGCCUUGGUGGGGGGCGCGGGCGAAGUUCGUCCGCCGGACUCGGAAUGGGGCGAGACUUUGCGAGGGGCCUCGGGGUGCCAAAAAUAAGCCGCGGGCAAAGCCGCGCCCAAAAAUAAGCGCCCGAAGGUCGUGGUGCGAAAACCCCCCAGCGGAAAAAUGGCCAAAAAACGGGUGGGCUAUAGCCUUGGUGGGGGGCGCGGGCGAAGUUCGUCCGCCGGACUCGGAAUGGGGCGAGACUUUGCGAGGGGCCUCGGGGCGCCAAAAAUAAGCCGCGGGCAAAGCCGCGCCCAAAAAUAAGCGCCCGAAGGUCGUGGUGCCAAAACCCCCCAGCGGAAAAAUGGCCAAAAAACGGGUGGGCUAUAGCCUUGGUGGGGGGCGUGGGCGAAGUUCGUCCGCCGGACUCGGAAUGGGGCGAGACUUUGCGAGGGGCGUCGGGGUGCCCCCAGGAAGUCGCGGGCACAGCCGCGUCCAAAAAUAAGCGCCCGAAGGUCGUGGUGCCAAAACCCCCCAGCGGAAAAAUGGCCAAAAAACGGGUGGGCUAUAGCCUUGGUGGGGGGCGCGGGCGAAGUUCGUCCGCCGGACUCGGAAUGGGGCGAGACUUUGCGAGGGGACUCGGGGUGCACGCGGGAAGUUGCGGGCACAGCCGCGUCCAAAAAUAAGCGCCCGAAGGUCGUGGUGCCAAAACCCCCCAGCGGAAAAAUGGCCAAAAAACGGGUGGGCUAUAGCCUUGGUGGGGGGCGCGGGCGAAGUUCGUCCGCCGGACUCGGAAUGGGGCGAGACUUUGCGAGGGGCCUCGGGGUGCCAAAAAUAAGCCGCGGGCAAAGCCGCGCCCAAAAAUAAGCGCCCGAAGGUCGUGGUGCGAAAACCCCCCAGCGGAAAAAUGGCCAAAAAACGGGUGGGCUAUAGCCUUGGUGGGGGGCGCGGGCGAAGUUCGUCCGCCGGACUCGGAAUGGGGCGAGACUUUGCGAGGGGCCUCGGGGUGCCCGCGGGAAGUCGCGGGCACAGCCGCGUCCAAAAAUAAGCGCCCGAAGGUCGUGGUGCCAAAACCCCCAGCGGAAAAAUGGCCAAAAAACGGUUGGCUAUAGCCUUGGUGGGGGGCGCGGGCGAAGUUCGUCCGCCAGACUCGGAAUGGGGCGAGACUUUGCGAGGGGCCUCGGGGUGCCAAAAAUAAGGCGCGGGCAAAGCCGCGCCCAAAAAUAAGCGCCCAAAGGUCGUGUUGCCAAAACCCCCCAGCGGAAAAAUGGCCAAAAAACGGGUGGGCUAUAGCCUUGGUGGUGGGCGCGGGCGAAGUUCGUCCGCCGGACUCGGAAUGGGGCGAGACUUUGCGAGGGGCCUCGGGGUGCCCGCGGGAAGUCGCGGGGCUACCGUAACAAGUUUCCUAAAUGUAGAACUGGUGGUGCCAAACCCCCCAGCGGAAAAAUGGCCAAAAAACGGGUGGGCUAUAGCCUUGGUGGGGGGCCGCGGGCGAAGUUCGUCCGCCGGACUCGGAGUGGGGCGAGACUUUGCGAGGGGCCUCGGGGUGCCCGCGGGAAGUCGCGGGCACAGCCGCGUCCAAAAAUAAGCGCCCGAAGGUCGUGGUGCCAAAACCCCCAGCGGAAAAAUGGCCAAAAAACGGUUGGCUAUAGCCUUGGUGGGGGGCGCGGGCGAAGUUCGUCCGCCAGACUCGGAAUGGGGCGAGACUUUGCGAGGGUCCUUGGGGUGCCAAAAAUAAGCCGCGGGCAAAGCCGCGCCCAAAAAUAAGUGCCCGAAGGUCGUGGUGCCAAAACCCCCCAGCGGAAAAAUGGCCAAAAAACGGGUGGGCUAUAGCCUUGGUGGGGGGCGCGGGCGAAGUUUGUCCGCCGGACUCGAAAUGGGGCGAGACUUUGCGAGGGGCCUCGGGGCACCAAAAAUAAGGCGCGGGCAAAGCCGCGCCCAAAAAUAAGCGCCCGAAGGUCGUGAUGCCAAAACCCCCCAGCAGAAAAAUGGCCAAAAAACGGGUGGGCUAUAGCCUUGGUGGGGGGCGCGGGCGUAGUUCGUCCGCCGGACUCGGAAUGGGGCGAGACUUUGCGCGGAGCCUCGGGUCGCCAAAAAUAAGCCGCGGGCAAAGCUGCGCCCAAAAAUAAGCGCCCGAAGGUCGUGGUGCCAAAACCCCCCAGCGCAAAAAUGUCCAAAAAACGGGUGGGCUAUAGCCUUGGUGGGGGGCGCGGGCGAAGUUCGUCCGCCGGACUCGGAAUGGGGCGAGACUUUGCGCGGAGCCUCGGGGCGCCAAAAAUAAGCCGCGGGCAAAGCCGCGCCCAAAAAUAAGCGUCCGAAGGUCGUGGUGCCAAAACCCCCCAGCGGAAAAAUGGCCAAAAAACGGGUGGGCUAUAGCCUUGGUGGGGGGCGCGGGCGAAGUUCGUCCGCCGGACUCGGAAUGGGGCGAGACUUUGCGAGGGGCCUCGGGGUGCCCCCAGGAAGUCGCGGGCACAGCCGCGUCCAAAAAUAAGCGCCCGAAGGUCGUGGUGCCAAAACCCCCCAGCGGAAAAAUGGCCAAAAAACGGGUGGGCUAUAGCCUUGGUGGGGGGCGCGGGCGAAGUUCGUCCGCUGGACUCGGAAUGGGGCGAGACUUUGCGAGGGGCCUCGGGGUGCCAAAACUAAGCCGCGGGCAAAGCCGCGCCCAAAAAUAAGCGCCCGAUGGUCCUGGUGCCAAAACCCCCCAGCGGAAAAAUGGCCAAAAAACGGGUGGGCUAUAGCCUUGGUGGGGGGCGCGGGUGAAGUUCGUCUGCUGGACUCGGAAUGGGACGAGACUUUGCGAGGGGCCUCGGGGUGCCCGCGGGAAGUCGCGGGCACAGCCACAUCCAGAAAUAAGCGCCCGAAGGUCGUGGUGCCAAAACCCCCCAGCGGAAAAAUGGCCAAAAAACGGGUGGGCUAUAGCCUUGGUGGGGGGCGCGGGCGAAGUUCGUCCGCCGGACUCGGAAUGGGGCGAGACUUUGCGAGGGGACUCGGGGUGCACGCGGGAAGUUGCGGGCACAGCCGCGUCCAAAAAUAAGCGCCCGAAGGUCGUGGUGCCAAAACCCCCCAGCGGAAAAAUGGCCAAAAAACGGGUGGGCUAUAGCCUUGGUGGGGGGCGCGGGCGAAGUUCGUCCGCCGGACUUGGAAUGGGGCGAGACUUUGCGAGGGGCCUCGGGGUGCCAAAAAUAAGCCGCGGGCAAAGCCGCGCCCAAAAAUAAGCGCCCGAAGGUCGUGGUGCGAAAACCCCCCAGCGGAAAAAUGGCCAAAAAACGGGUGGGCUAUAGCCUUGGUGGGGGGCGCGGGCGAAGUUCGUCCGCCGGACUCGGAAUGGGGCGGGACUUUGCGAGGGGCCUCGGGGUGCCAAAAAUAAGCCGCGGGCAAAGCCGCGCCCGAAGGUCGUGGUGCGAAAACCCCCCAGCGGAAAAAUGGCCAAAAAACGGGUGGGCUAUAGCCUUGGUGGGGGGCGCGGGCGAAGUUCGUCCGCCGGACUCGGAAUGGGGCGAGACUUUGCGAGGGGACUCGGGGUGCCCGCGGGAAGUUGCGGGCACAGCCGCGUCCAAAAAUAAGCGCCCGAAGGUCGUGGUGCCAAAACCCCCCAGCGGAAAAAUGGCCAAAAAACGGGUGGGCUAUAGCCUUGGUGGGGGGCGCGGGCGAAGUUCGUCCGCCGGACUCGGAAUGGGGCGAGACUUUGCGAGGGGCCUCGGGGUGCCCCCAGGAAGUCGCGGGCACAGCCGCGUCCAAAAAUAAGCGCCCGAAGGUCGUGGUGCCAAAACCCGCCAGCGGAAAAAUGGCCAAAAAACGGGUGGGCUAUAGCCUUGGUGGGGGGCGCGGGCGAAGUUCGUCCGCCGGACUCGGAAUGGGGCGAGACUUUGCGAGGGGCCUCGGGGUGCCCGCGGGAAGUCGCGGGCACAGCCGCGUCCAAAAAUAAGCGCCCGAAGGUCA